rnacentral:lncRNA from 1 species
UGUGUGCCGCGGAAAUCUUUAUUUAUUCCAACAAAUCAUGCCCUCUCAAUUGACUUGCUAGCACAUAUUGGAGUAAUCUUUUUUUUUUACUCCUCUGGUUGCAUGGGUCAGACAUUUUUUUUUGAGACCAUGGGUCAGACAUGCAUGCGCUUUUUGGACUGCCCCACGAGGGGAGUGUUGAAGCAUUGUUUGUACGCCAGGAAUAUAAAAAUGGCAUCAUGGGCUCUUUGCAAAGGAUGAAGAUGCUAUUACUAAUCAAUGACUUGAGUCAUUAAAAUAUAUUAUAAGUUCAGGCUUCUUCUGUAUAU